rnacentral:lncRNA from 13 species
AUGCAGGUGCCUGUGUGCGUGCCCCACAGGAGAAGAGACUGGAUCUCCACGCUCCAGAAGAAGAGACUGGAUCUCCACGCUCCAGGAGAAGAGACUGGAUCUCCACGCUCCAGGAGAAGAGACUGGAACUCCACGCUCCAGGAGAAGAGACUGGAACUCCACGCUCCAGGAGAAGAGACUGGAUCUCCACGCUCCAGGAGAAGAGACUGGAACUCCACGCUCCAGGAGAAGAGACUGGAACUCCACGCUCCAGGAGAAGAGACUGGAUCUCCACGCUCCAGGAGAAGAGACUGGAACUCCACGCUCCAGGAGAAGAGACUGGAUCUCCACGCUCCAGAAGAAGAGACUGGAUCUCCACGCUCCAGGAGAAGAGACUGGAACUCCAUGCUCCAGGUGAGCCCUUCCCAAGUGGGGCACUGGGGCCAUGUCCACCCUGGGCCGGCUGCAAUCAGCCCUGAGGAUUUUCUGAGCCCUCCUCACACCGAGACCCAUGGACAUGUGCUGGGCCAAGAGGAGGCUCUGGCCGGUCCCCCCACCCCCAUGCCCAACGCCCAUCACAGGGCAAGUGCUCUGCAUGCCUUGGCCAGGUCACCCAGUGGCCAGCCACAGGGUCACUCUGAAGAUGUUUCUGCCCAGACUUCAGAUGGGAAAGAGCAAGGUGCCCGCCUGGCCACUGCAGAGAAGUGGCCAAGGAUGGGGAGGGGUGAAGUGGGCGCCCAGCUCUCAGCCCCCAGAAAGGCCAUUUGCAGACGCCCCCACCCUGCCCUGCCCUCCUCGCCAUCAUACCCCAGCAACACCAAAGGGUUUAUAAGGAACUGUUCGGCGCACCAGAGAGAACACCGCCGUCAUUAAGGGAUUUAACGACAGCUCUGCCCAAUUCUGGGAUUUGCUCUGCCCUCAUUACACACAGUAACAAGCGUUUCUCUGAGACGCGGCCCUGCGCCCAAGGCCACCCUCCUAUGCUGUGUGUGACUUUCAUUAGAAGGAGUUUUAUGAAGCCACCGAUCACAGACGCACGUCUGACCCGAGGCCGUGGCAGCUGCUGCUCACCGGCCAGGCGUCCUGCGCUGGGUGGGGCCUGUGUGUACCUGAGGGCCUGUCCUGUGCUGGGUGGGGCCUGUGUGCGCCCGUGGGACUGUCCUGUGCUGGGUGGGGCCUGUAUGUGCCCUCGGGCCUGUCCUGUGCUGGGUGGGGCCUGUCUGCCACCCCAAGUAUACAGAGAGGCACCUAUUACAAUGGUUAUCUCUGCAGCCAGAGCCUGCCCCUCCCCGACACCCUCAGCCAGGGCUGGCAUCGGGGACUGAAGGUCAACACCUGUCCACAAUGCUGUGGGCCGAGCUGAGCCAGGGCCUCUCUCUGGCCCCGUGUCGGCAGACACAUGCCUUUUACCUUAUUUUAGCAGCUGGACUAUUUUCCCACAAACCAUUAAAUGGUGUAAAACCCAAGUCAAAAAGGCAGAGGUGAAGCUGGUUCUGUCGGCACACAAUGGCCACCCCUCGCCUCACUCCACUCCCACCCAAGGAGCCCCGGGGACACCCCAAACUCCUGGGAAUCUUUGGAACCAUACAGUGACUGUGGCCUGGGAGUCCCCCCAGCUCAGCACCUUGCGCCCCUAACAGUGAGUAUGGCUGCGCGGGCAGCAGCCCUGCCCCAAGAGGCAGCCUGGGGCACCUGGGUUGCACCACCCGUGGUCUGGGGGCACAGCAGGCCAGGGCCCAGGCCCCAGUGCCCAGCAGAGGAGUGGCUCACUCCGAAGCAGGACUUUGGAGAGAGACAAUCCCCUUCCCAAGGUGACUUUGGAGAGAGACAGUCCCCUUCCCAAGGUGACUUUGGAGAGAGACAGUCCCCUUCCCAAGGUGACUUUGGAGACAGUCCCCUUCCCAAGGUGACUUUGGAGAGAGACAGUCCCCUUCCCGGCCAUCCGAGUGCCUGCUUGGCCAGGGACACUCUCAGUAGACCUGUGUUUGUAAGAUGGGGAAGGCAGGAAAGAGUCUCCCAAGGACAAGCUGCCAAGAAACUUCCCGACAAGCAAGUUUUGCAGCUGGAAGGCCCCAGGUGAAGCAGGGACUGGUGGCCGGGCUCUGUCCCUCUGGUUCUCAGGCCCUGCCACGGACCUUCUGCCCUCCACCCAGACCAGCCACCCUAGGCCAGGAUGGAAGCAGCCUCCCCAGGUGCAACCCAGACUGCAGGGUCCCUCUCUGGGCUCCAAGAGCCCCUUCUUCACCAUGCCUAGGAGGGGCAGAGAUGGGUGGUCUCAGGCUCUCCAUGCCCAGCCCCGUGCAGGGCUCUGAAGCUCUGUCUAUAAAGAGUUGUGGCUCUGCCUCUUGACCAGCAAAGAAGCUCAAAGGAAUGAGAGCCACGGCCCAGGUGAGGGGGAGCGGAGUGGAGGGGAGGUGGGACGCACCCACAGCUUCUCAGAGGCCACCUCGGUCCUGCCCCGCUUUCCCAGACAGACGCUUGCAAGAUGCGGGCCUGGUGAGGCCUGGGAGAGAGAGUGCAGCAGAGAGAAGCCGGCAGCCCGCUCUGCAGCUGGGCCAAGCGCACCCCGCCCCCCAGAAACAGCCCAUGAAUAAGUCAGUAACAAGCCCUGGGAUCUGGCUCUGCCCUCGCACGGGCCCGGCCGGGGCGGCGAUGGCGUCCACAAUACCGUGCAUUCAUUACGCUCCUUAAAAACAGUGUUGUGUGUCUGGAGAACAGGAAGUGGCCGUAAGUCCCCCGUGUAAAAGCCAUCUGAAGCCACGGACCAGGUAUGUUCCCAAUCAGGAAGCAGGCAGUAAAUAAACAUUUACGUCCCGCGGCCGCGCA